UUGAACGCUGGCGGCAUGCUUUACACAUGCAAGUCGAACGGUAACAGGUUAAGCUGACGAGUGGCGAACGGGUGAGUAAUGCAUCGGAACGUGCCCGAUCGUGGGGGAUAACGCAGCGAAAGCUGCGCUAAUACCGCAUACGAUCUGAGGAUGAAAGCGGGGGACCGUAAGGCCUCGCGCGAUUGGAGCGGCCGAUAUCAGAUUAGCUAGUUGGUGGGGUAAAAGCUCACCAAGGCGACGAUCUGUAGCUGGUCUGAGAGGACGACCAGCCACACUGGAACUGAGACACGGUCCAGACUCCUACGGGAGGCAGCAGGGGGGAAUUUUGGACAAUGGGCGCAAGCCUGAUCCAGCAAUGCCGCGUGCAGGAUGAAGGCCUUCGGGUUGUAAACUGCUUUUGUACGGAACGAAACGGUUCUCUUUAAUAAAGAGGGCUAAUGACGGUACCGUAAGAAUAAGCACCGGCUAACUACGU
rnacentral:rRNA from 1 species